ACAGUCCUUCUGAGGAAGGGCAUGUGAGGUGUUCGUUGUCUGUGGUAGACCUGGGUCUGUGGGAGGCUCAGGAUUCUGGUCCGGACUGGAGUAGAACCUGGGGAGCUAUUGGCUGGCCUCUGUUAUUUAAAGCCACAGAAUGGAUGUAAAACCAAGGACUAGCAGUCAUACUGAGACGGUGAAAUGGUGGAAAUUGGAACCUUAGGGAGCAGCACUGGGCUGGAUGGAAGAGGAAGAGCCUGCAAGAGAAAAGAGCUGCGGAGGUCAGAGGGAGCGGCUGUGCCUUGGGCCAGGGGAGCAGUGAGCCACGUUCCUUAUCCCAAGCAGACUCCUUGGAGAUCUGGAGAGGCCGGAGCUGAGGGCCGGGACCCCGAGGGCCUCGGAAGGAGUUGUUUCAGCCUCUUGGGGCAACAGCCAGAUCCCAGUGGCUCUGGAAGUAAUCUGUCUAGAUGUGAGAUGAUGAAGGAAGGAAGGAUGGCUGUACUUGAGGAGGGAGCCGGGUCACAGAUGGGGCAAGAGGCACGAUCGUGGUGUUGAGUGAAGAGAAAGGACUGAAGACAAAGGAAGUGCCGGAGCCUGUCCUGGAGAAAGGAGAAGGGACCUCUUGUCUGUGGAGUCAGAAAAGCAGGAAAGGUUGAAGGGAGAAGGUGCUACUUACUCACUACCAGGGGCCUGGGACACAAGCCUGUUUGAGGGUUUCUGAAGAACAGUGGAGAUGCUGAGAUUCUGUGCAGGCCUUUCUGACUUUGCACCAGUGGCAGUUCGCAGCCUCCAGGACUUGGCUCGCAUCGCCAUCCGGGGCACCAUUAAAAAGAUUAUUCAUCAGGAAACUGUGAGCAAAAACGGAAACGGACUAAAGAACACCCCCAGGUUUAAACGAAGGAGAGUUCGCCGCCGUCGAAUGGAAACGAUUGUCUUUUUGGACAAAGAAGUCUUUGCCAGUCGGAUUUCCAACCCCUCAGAUGACAACAGCUGUGAAGACUUGGAAGAGGAACGGAGGGAAGAAGAAGAGAAGACCCCGCCGGAAACAAAGCCAGACCCCCCAGUGAACUUCCUACGCCAGAAGGUCCUGAGCCUCCCUCUGCCAGAUCCCCUGAAAUACUACUUGCUUUAUUACAGAGAAAAAUAAGUCUCCUGUUUGAAAGGGGGAAAUAGGAAGAGCAGAUUGCUGAGUGUGAAGUUCGUGCUGCCUGUGUGCUGUUGAAGGGUCACCUGGAGGCAGACGUUGUGGGGAAGGGAACUGCUGGGCUCAUCCACACCAUGGUUUUCUUCUAGUUCCUGAUUGACCUCUAAAAUUCUAUUCAGUUGUAUGAUUUGUUUACAUAGUUCCACAAGACCUUCAUUGCAUAGAAGAUUGUUUUCCCAAAGUGGAGAGAAUCUUCAUAGAGAAAAAGAGAAGGCUGUUUCUUUUUCGGCUCUGACGAAACACUGAAGUCUGCGUAAGAGAGACUGUUUGAUGACCGUCCCUCAUGCAACAUGCACGGUACUCACUAAAAAUGAAAACUGAAGUGGAAACUAACCUGUGUUGCUUAUAAAGUGUGAAAGCACAAGCUUAUAAAUGUAUAAAAUCUUUUCUGGGUGUGACGCACCUGCGUCCAAGUUUGAAUUUUUAUGAUAUGUACCACUUAAUUACUGGCACUGAGUAUCACUGAAUUUCUUAGUUUUCUAGUGGGGAAACAUUAUUGAGAAGCCCUCCCUUAUUUUAAGUAAGUUGAUUAAAUCUUAUGUGAGUUGCCAGUUGUAAUUUUUCAAAGGAAAAAUUUUGAUGGGGUGGAGGAAUGAAUUGCCAGAUAAUCUUUCUGGAAUUCCGAGAGAAUUCCAAAGAGGGUUUUUUUUUUUUUUUUUAGGACAUCUUUUGAUACCUUUAAAAGAACCACUGUCAAGUAAUCCUUAAAAGAAUAUCUUGGAAAAGGAAACAGAUUUUUUCCUGUGUGUAAGCAAUAAGUGAAGUUACAUUUGCCCUAACCCUAGGGAUGAUUCUUUACCCAGUUUUAAAGCCCAUCAUGGUAUUCUAAGGUGUUGACACCCUCCAUCCUCAGAGCAGGUCGAAAAUAUUAAAUAGACUGGGGACUCUAUGAUGGGCAGCCUGUGCUUUUUGACUUCAGUUUGCUAUUUUUCUGUGAUCACAUUAGUACUGAUUCAUAGAUUCUAUCUUUUAUAAUUCUGGAGAAAAAGAUUUGUUAGUUUUGUAAUUUUUUUGUAAGACCAAAUGUAUGUAUUUUAGUAGCUCCAUUGCAUGAGAAGAGUGUAACUCACACUGACUUGUGAUAUCAGCCUUCUCUGGGCCUUGUGUGUGGAGAGCUUUCUAUCUUACCAAGUGGUAGGGCUAAAAGAACAACAGCCUUUUUGGUAGUCACAUAGCAGAAUGAUC
rnacentral:misc_RNA from 1 species